GAUGAACGCUAGCUACAGGCUUAACACAUGCAAGUCGAGGGACCGGCGCACGGGUGAGUAACACGUAUCAAACAUGCCCUUUACUCGGGGAUAGCCUUUCGAAAGACAGAUUAAUACCCGAUAUAAGGGAUGGGGAUGCGUUCCAUUAGGUUGUUGGUGAGGGAACGGCUCACCAAGCAUUCUAUGGAUAGGGGUUCUGAGAGGAAGGUCCCCCACAUUGGAACUGAGACCCGGUCCAAACUCCUACGGGAGGCAGCAGUGAGGAGUAUUGUUCAAUGGGCGCUAGCCUGAACCAGCCAAGUAGCGUGAAGGAUGAAGGCGUAUGGGUCUUAAACUUCUUUUAUAUAAUAAUAUGUAUUAUAUGAAUAAGGAUCGGCUAACUCCGUGCCAGCAGCCGCGGUAAUAC
rnacentral:rRNA from 1 species